CUGUAUUUUUCAACUGAUCUUCAUGAAGUUUGGUCAGAAUGAUUAUCUUGAUGAAAUCUAGGACGAGUUCGAAAAUGGGUCAUCUGGGAUCAAAAACUAGGUCACUAGGUCAAAUCAAAGAAAAACCUUGUGUAUGCGAUAGAGGCUUUUUUUUUCAAUUAAUCUUCAUGAAUUUUGGUCAGAAUGAUUACCCUGAUGAAAUCUAGGCAGAGUUCGAAAAUGGGUCAUCUUGGGUCAAAAACUAGGUCACUAGGUCAAAUCAAAGAAAAACUUUGUGUAUGCGAUAGAUGCUGUAUUUUUCAAGUAAUCUUCAUGAAUUUUGGUCAGAAUGAUAACCUUGAUGAAAUCUAGGCCGAGUUCGAAAAUGGGUCAUCUGGGGUCAAAAACUAGGUCACUAGGUCAAAUUAAAGAAAAACCUUGUGUAUGCAAUAGAGGCUGUAUUUUUCAAUUGAUCUUUAUGAAAUUUGGUCAGAAUUAUUGCCUUGAUAAAAUCUAGGUCAUUAGGUCAAAUCAAAGAAAAACCUUGUGUAUGCGAUAGAGGCUAUAUUUUUCAAUUGAUCUUCAUGAAAUUCAGUCAGAAUGAUUGCCUUGAUAAAAUCUUGGUCUAGUUUGAAUAUGGAUCAUCUUGGAUCAAAAUUAGGUCAAAUCAAAGAAAAACCUUGUGUAUGCAAUAGAGGCUGUAUUUUUCAAUUAAUCUUCAUGAAUUUUGGUCAGAAUGAUUACCCUGAUGAAAUCUAAGCCGAGUUCGAAAAUGGGUCUUCUUGGGUCAAAAACUAGGUCACUAGGUCAAAUCAAAGAAAAACUUUGUGUAUGCAAUAGAUGCUGUAUUUUUCAAGUAAUCUUCAUGAAUUUUGGUCAGAAUGAUAACCUUGAUGAAAUCUAGGCCGAGUUCGAAAAUGGGUCAUCUCGGGUCAAAAACGAGGUCACUAGGUCAAAUCAAAGAAAAACCUUGUGUAUGCAAUAGAGGCUGUAUUUUUCAAUUGAUCUUUAUGAAAUUUGGUCAGAAUUAUUGCCUUGAUAAAAUCUAGGUAGAGUUUGGUUAUUGGUCAUCUGUGGUCAAAAACUAGGUCACUAGGUCAAAUCAAAGAAAAACCUUGUGUAUGCAAUAGAGGCUGUAUUUUUCAAUUGAUCUUUAUGAAAUUUGGUCAAAGUGAUUUCCUUGAUGAAAUCUAGGUCAAGUUUGAAUAUGGGUCA